AAACAGAAACCAAAAAAAAA
rnacentral:sRNA from 1 species